GGCAUCUCAACUGGUGAGUCUCUCUCUCUCUCUCUCUCUCUCUCUCUCUCAUCCCCAACCAUAAUCUCUUUUUGCUCUCUCGAAUUUCCGUAGUACCAGGCUCAUCGCUGACUACUCCAACCACGCCACCGCCAAUCCAACCCCGGUAACCCUCCGCCACGCCGUUACCCGAACGGAACCCAUGUCUUCUUUCUUACAAUGAGGUUGGGGAUGAAGGAAGUGGCAAAACAAUUUUAAGAGAACGCCUGCUAGGUGUUUGACAGAAUGCCCUUAGGUUCUUGGCGUGGAAAAGACAGCAUCUCAACAAGAGAUAAAGAAAGCAUAUCAUAAGUUGGCAUUGCGAUUACAUCCGGAUAAGAAUCCUGGAGAUGAGGCGAGAAUUGAUUUCCCAUGGCAAAAAACUUCAAAUUUCCAUGUCAUUUUUUACCCGAUUUCUUCUGCCAUUCGGAGGUUGCAAAUGUAUGGCUUAUGUGGGACUACUCUGGUCAAACUGGGGUAAGAAUUUGAAAAUUGCAAGAGAGUUGGAUCUCAAAUCUCUCUCCUAGCCCAUAAGGCUAUGUGAGACUCUCCGUUCCACCAACCAACAGGUAUGUCUCUUACUUUUGCACUGGAAAAAAAACUGAAUGAUUGAAUAUAUAUUUUUUGUCUAAAGGUUAAUUUGUUUGAGAGUAUCUGGAUGUGGAAUUAUCCGUAAGAGGACUAUGAUGUAGCUUUUCAUUUGCUCAAUCUGAAUUGAAUCUUUUUAUUUAAACCGAAAGGAUUAUAACUUAGUUUGAUAUUAAUCGCAUGCUUCUUUGCUAAAUAACUGCCAUUUGCAAAAGGGUGUCUCCUGAUUGGUUCAAUAAGAUGACUAGGUUGUUGUGCAUUCUCCUCGAUGGAGGUACUCCAUUCCCAUUGAUACAUGGAAAUUUAAAGGGGGUAAAGAAUGGUGGUGGUAUUGAACAAAUUAAAGCAUUGGAAUCUAUUGCAAUAUAGCAUUCAGCUCAUUUAUGAGUCUUCUAAGUGUGAAUUCAUU